GCGGAUUAAUACCGUAUGAGGUCACAUGCGGGCAUCUAAGUGUGACGAAAGGUUUAGCGGACAUGGAUGGGGAUGCGUCCGAUUAGCUUGUUGGCGGGGUAACGGCCCACCAAGGCGACGAUCGGUAGGGGUUCUGAGAGGAAGGUCCCCCACAUUGGAACUGAGACACGGUCCAAACUCCUACGGGAGGCAGCAGUGAGGAAUAUUGGUCAAUGGACGCAAGUCUGAACCAGCCAAGUAGCGUGCAGGAUGACGGCCCUAUGGGUUGUAAACUGCUUUUAUGCGGGGAUAAAGUGUGGGACGUGUCCCAUAUUGCAGGUACCGCAUGAAUAAGGACCGGCUAAUUCCGUGCCAGCAGCCGCGGUAAUACGGAAGGUUCGGGCGCUAUCCGGAUUUAUUGGGUUUAAAGGGAGCGUAGGCCGUCGUUUAAGCGUGUUGUGAAAUGCCGCGGCUCAACCGUGGCACUGCAGCGCGAACUGGAUGACUUGAGUUCGCGGGAGGUAGGCGGAAUUCGUGGUGUAGCGGUGAAAUGCUUAGAUAUCACGAAGAACUCCGAUUG
rnacentral:rRNA from 1 species